GUGAGUCAUCGAAUCUUUGAACGCACCUUGCGCUCCUUGGUAUUCCGAGGAGCAUGCCUGUUUGAGUGUCUUGAAGUCAUCAACCCCUCCCGUUUCGUGCGGGCUGGGGCUGGAGCUGGGGGCUUGCUGCCGUGAGGCGGCUCCCCUCAAAUGCAUCGGUUGGGCCUGUGGGUCGAACUCGACUGGGCGUUGUAUCAUCCUCGCUCUACCGAGAAGUUCCCCUUCCGUGCCCGACCCCGACCGCCUGUGGAGCGGCGGUCAAGCUAAACUUUGAAAUCUGACCUCAAAUCAGGUAGGACU
rnacentral:misc_RNA from 1 species